UUGAACGCUGGCGGCAGGCCUAACACAUGCAAGUCGAGCGGUUGAGAGUAGCUUGCUACUUGAUGCAGCGGCGGACGGGUGAGUAACGCGUGGGAAUCUGCCCAGUAGUGGGGGACAACAGCCGGAAACGGCUGCUAAUACCGCAUACGCCCUACGGGGGAAAGGGGGGAUCUUCGGACCUCUCGCUAUUGGAUGAGCCCGCGUCGGAUUAGCUAGUUGGUAGGGUAAAGGCCUACCAAGGCUACGAUCCGUAACUGGUCUGAGAGGAUGAUCAGGCACACUGGAACUGAGACACGGUCCAGACUCCUACGGGAGGCAGCAGUGGGGAAUAUUGGACAAUGGGGGAAACCCUGAUCCAGCCAUGCCGCGUGUGUGAAGAAGGCCUUAGGGUUGUAAAGCACUUUCAGUGGGGAGAAAGGUUUGUCACCUAAUACGUGAUGAAAUUGAUGUUACCCACAGAAGAAGCACCGGCUAACUCCGUGCCAGCCGCCGCUGUAACAC
rnacentral:rRNA from 1 species